rnacentral:rRNA from 1 species
AUUGAACGCUGGCGGCAGGCCUAACACAUGCAAGUCGAACGAGUGGCGGACGGGUGAGUAAUGUCUGGGAAACUGCCUGAUGGAGGGGGAUAACUACUGGAAACGGUAGCUAAUACCGCAUACCCUCGGAUGUGCCCAGGUGGGAUUAGCUCGUAGGGGGGGUAAGGGCUCACCUAGGCGACGAUCCCUAGCUGGUCUGAGAGGAUGACCAGCCACACUGGAACUGAUACCCGGUCCAGACUCCGACGGGAGGCGGCAGUGGGGAAUAGUGCACAGUGGGGGCGAGCCUGAUCCAGCCAUGCCGCGUUUAUGAAGAAGGCCGUCGGGUUGUAAAGUACGUUCAGCGGGGAGGCGUUACCCGCAGAAGAAGCACCGGCUAACUCCGUGCCAGCAGCCGCGGUAAUAC